rnacentral:rRNA from 1 species
GUGGCGGACGGGUGAGUAACGCGUAGGUAUCUAUCUCUGGGUGGGGGAUAACCGUGGGAAACUACGGCUAAUACCGCAUGACACCUGAGGGUCAAAGGCGCGAGCCGCCUGGAGAGGAGCCUGCGUUCGAUUAGCUUGUUGGUGGGGUAAAGGCCUACCAAGGCGACGAUCGAUAGCUGGUCUGAGAGGAUGAUCAGCCACAUUGGGACUGAGACACGGCCCAAACUCCUACGGGAGGCAGCAGUGGGGAAUAUUGGACAAUGGGCGCAAGCCUGAUCCAGCAAUGCCGCGUGGGUGAAGAAGGUUUUCGGAUUGUAAAGCCCUUUUGGCGGGGAC